AUUGAACGCUGGCGGCAUGCCUUACACAUGCAAGUCGAGCGGCAGCGCGGGGGCAACCCUGGCGGCGAGCGGCGGACGGGUGAGUAAUACAUCGGAACGUGUCCUUUCGUGGGGGAUAACCAGUCGAAAGACUGGCUAAUACCGCAUGAGAUCUCACGAUGAAAGCGAGGGACCGCAAGGCCUCGCGCGAUUGGAGCGGCCGAUGUCGGAUUAGCAGUUGGCGGGGUAAAAGCCCACCAAGGCUACGAUCCGUAGCUGGUUUGAGAGAACGACCAGCCACACUGGGACUGAGACACGGCCCAGACUCCUACGGGAGGCAGCAGUGGGGAAUUUUGGACAAU
rnacentral:rRNA from 1 species